rnacentral:rRNA from 1 species
GCCCUAUUCAGUGUAACUGCUGUGGUAGUGGGUUUGGUCGCUCGCAUUUAAAUUGGAAGGGUAAUGGUGGACCGCACUUCUCCCUUAGUAGGACGUUGCGACCUGUCAAAUAAUAUCCUAAGUAUAUGGCUAAUUUGUCUGUUUUUAGGCAAUACCGCGAGGUAUUUCCUUUAACAGUUUUAGCCGUUUAUAUAUACUGGAUAUAAUUGACAGUAACGAAUCAUGGUGUUGAGCCACUUGAAAUUGUAUAUUUAUAUGUAUAAUGGAAAGUGUCCUUGUGGCUGUUUGCAAGUGGGUUGGUUAAUUAGUUUUAGUCGGAUUUUGGUCCGUCUAGCUAUUCCGCCUACUGUUGGUAAACUGUUCCUUGGACAGUGCUUACAACACCGGUCGGCAGCGAUUCAGGUUCAGGCUCUUAUCCGACCCGUCUUGAAACACGGACCAAGGAGUUUAGCGUGUACGCAAGUCAUUGGGUGUAUAAAACCCAAAGGCGC